CAGUAGCCGCGGGAAUACGAAGGGUGCAAGCGUUACUCGGAAUUACUGGGCGUAAAGCGUGCGUAGGUGGUGGUUUAAGUCCGUUGUGAAAGCCCUGGGCUCAACCUGGGAAUUGCAGUGGAUACUGGGUCACUAGAGUGUGGUAGAGGAUAGUGGAAUUUCCGGUGUAGCAGUGAAAUGCGUAAAGAUCGGAAGGAACAUCUGUGGCGAAGGCGACUAUCUGGGCCAACACUGACACUGAGGCACGAAAGCGUGGGGAGCAAACAGGAUUAGAUACCCGAGUAGUCCCUGUCUCUUAUAC
rnacentral:rRNA from 1 species